rnacentral:ncRNA from 1 species
CGAAAUCGGUAGACGCUACGGACUUAAUUGGAUUGAGCCUUGGUAUGGAAACUUACUAAGUGAUAACUUUCAAAUUCAGAGAAACCCUGGAAUUAAAAAUGGGGCAAUCCUGAGCCAAAUCCUGUUUUCCGAAAACAAACAAAGGUUCAAAAAGACAGAAUAAAAAAAAGGAUAGGUGCAGAGACUCAAUGGAAGCUGUUCUAACAAAUGGAGUUGGCUGCGUUGCAUUAGUAAAGUAAAGGAAAGGAAUCCUUCCGUUAAAACUCCAGAAAGGAUAAAAUAAAGGAUAACCCUAUAUUCAUAUGUAUACGUAUUCAAAUAAUUCCUAUGUAUACGUAUUCAAAUACUAUCUCAAAUGAUUAAAAUGAUUAAUAGGGGCCGAAUCCAUAUUUUUUUUUUUUUUAUAUUUAUAUGUUAUAUGAAUUUUUUAUAUUUAUAUGAAAAAUGAAAUAAAAAAAAUGGUUUUGAAUUGAUUCCAAGUUGAAGAAAGGAUUGAAUUUUAAUUGAUCAAAUCAUUCGCUCCAUAGUCUGAUAGAUAACUGAUUAAUCGGACGAGAAUAAAGAUAGAGUCCCAUUCUACAUGUCAAUAUCGACAACAAGGAAAUUUAUAGUAAGAGGAAAAUCCGUCGACUUUAGAAAUCGUGAGGGUUCAAGUCCCUCUAUCCC